rnacentral:rRNA from 1 species
GAAACGACUGCUAAGACUGGAUAGGAAGUUUUAAGGCAUCUUGAAACUUUUAAAAGACCCGCAAGGGUAUGCUGAGAGAUGGGCUUGCGGCACAUUAGUUAGUUGGUAAGGUAACGGCUUACCAAGACCAUGAUGUGUAGCUGGACUGAGAGGUUGAACGGCCACAUUGGGACUGAGAUACGGCCCAAACUCCUACGGGAGGCAGCAGUAAGGAAUUUUCGGCAAUGGAGGAAACUCUGACCGAGCAACGCCGCGUGAACGAUGAAAUAUUUAGGUAUGUAAAGUUCUUUUAUUAAAGAAGAAGAAAUGAUGGAAAAAUCAUUCUGACGGUAUUUAAUGAAUAAGCCCCGGCUAACUAUGUGCCAGCAGCUGCGGUAAUACAUGGGGGGCAAGCGUUAUCCGGAUUUAUUGGGCGUAAAGGGUGUGUAGGCGGUUUAAUAAGUCUAUGGUAUAAGUUCAACGCUUAACGUUGUGAUGCUAUGGAAACUGUUUGACUAGAGUUGGAUAGAGGCAAGUGGAAUUCCAUGUGUAGCGGUAAAAUGCGUAAAUAUAUGGAGGAACACCAGUAGCGAAGGCGGCUUGCUGGGUCUUAACUGACGCUGAGGCACGAAAGCGUGGGGAGCAAACAGGAUUAGAUACCCUGGUAGUCCACGCCGUAAACGAUGAGUACUAAGUGUUGGGUUAAACCAGUGCUGAAGUUAACACAUUAAGUACUCCGCCUGAGUAGUACGUACGCAAGUAUGAAACUUAAAGGAAUUGACGGGACUCCGCACAAACGGUGGAUCAUGUUGUUCAAUUCGAAGAUACACGAAAAACCUUACCAGGUCUUGACAUACUCUGCAAAGCUAUAGAAAUAUAGUGGAGGUUAUCAGGGAUACAGGUGGUGCAUGGUUGUCGUCAGCUCGUGUCGUGAGAUGUUGGGUUAAGUCCCGCAACGAGCGCGACCCUUAUCGCUAGUUACCAUCAUUUAGUUGGGCACUUUAGUGAGACUGCCAAUGAUGAAUUGGAGGAAGGUGGGGAUUACGUCAAAUCAUCAUGCCCCUUAUGACCUGGGCUACAAACGUGCUACAAUGGCUGUUACAAAGAGUAGCAGAAGCGUGAGUUUUUAGCAAAUCUCAAAAAAACAGUCUCAGUUCGGAUUGAAGUCUGCAACUCGACUUCAUGAAGUCGGAAUCGCUAGUAAUCGCGAAUCAGCAUGUCGUGGUGAAUACGUUCUCGGGGUUUGUACACACCGCCCGUCA